GACGAACGCUGGCGGCGUGCUUAACACAUGCAAGUCGAACGAUGAACCUCGAAAUGAUUUCUUCGGAAAGAUUUUUGAGAGGAUUAGUGGCGAACGGGUGAGUAACGCGUGAGCAACCUGCCUUAGACAAGGGGAUAGCCUCGGGAAACCGUGAUUAAUACCCUAUGAGACUCCACUUACGAGUGUAAGAGAAGUUAAAGCUAUUGCGGUCUAAGAUGGGCUCGCGUCUGAUUAGCUAGUUGGUGAGAUAAAAGCCCACCAAGGCGACGAUCAGUAACCGGCUUGAGAGAGUGAACGGUCACAUUGGAACUGAGACACGGUCCAAACUCCUACGGGAGGCAGCAGUGGGGAAUAUUGCAAAAUGGGGGCAACCCUGAUGCAGCGACGCCGCGUGAGCGAUGAAGGAAUUCGUUUCGUAAAGCUCUGUCCUUGGAGAAGAUAAUGACGGUAACCAAGGAGGAAGCACCGGCUAAAUACGUG
rnacentral:rRNA from 1 species